rnacentral:rRNA from 1 species
AGAGUUUGAUUACUGGCUCAGGAUGAACGCUAGCUACAGGCUUAACACAUGCAAGUCGAGGGGCAGCAUGAAGUUUGCUUGCAAACUUGAUGGCGACCGGCGCACGGGUGAGUAACGCGUAUCCAACCUUCCCCUUAGUAGGGCAUAGCCCGGCGAAAGUCGGAUUAAUACCCUAUGUUCUUCGUAGAUGACAUCUGAAAUGAAGCAAAGGUUUACCGCUAAGGGAUGGGGAUGCGUCUGAUUAGGCAGUCGGCGGGGUAACGGCCCACCGAGCCGACGAUCAGUAGGGGUUCUGAGAGGAAGGUCCCCCACAUUGGAACUGAGACACGGUCCAAACUCCUACGGGAGGCAGCAGUGAGGAAUAUUGGUCAAUGGGCGCGAGCCUGAACCAGCCAAGUAGCGUGCAGGAAGACGGCCCUAUGGGUUGUAAACUGCUUUUAUGCGGGGAUAAAGUCGCCCACGUGUGGGUGUUUGUAGGUACCGCAUGAAUAAGGACCGGCUAAUUCCGUGCCAGCAGCUGC